UGGUUAAGUGGGAAACGAUGUGGGAAGGCCCAGACAGCCAGGAUGUUGGCUUAGAAGCAGCCAUCAUUUAAAGAAAGCGUAAUAGCUCACUGGUCGAGUCGGCCUGCGCGGAAGAUGUAACGGGGCUAAACCAUGCACCGAAGCUGCGGCAGCGAACGUAUCACUUAAAGCGAUUCAGCGGGUUACGAUUGACGGAGCGAAGCGACGUCAAAGCGUAUACAAAGUCGAGUCGGUUUAAGGAUACGUUCGUUGGGUAGGGGAGCGUUCUGUAAGCCUGCGAAGGUGGCCUGUGAGGGUUGCUGGAGGUAUCAGAAGUGCGAAUGCUGACAUAAGUAACGAUAAAGCGGGUGAAAAGCCCGCUCGCCGGAAGACCAAGGGUUCCUGUCCAACGUUAAUCGGGGCAGGGUGAGUCGACCCCUAAGGCGAGGCC
rnacentral:rRNA from 1 species